UACGAAGGGUGCAAACGUUGCUCGGAAUCAUUGGGCGUAAAGCGCACGUAGGCGGCCUCAAAAGUCGGAUGUGAAAUCCCGUGGCUCAACCAUGGACGUGCAUUCGAAACUGCGAGGCUUGAGUAUGGAAGAGGGUCGCGGAAUUCCCGGUGUAGAGGUGAAAUUCGUAGAUAUCGGGAGGAACACCAGUGGCGAAGGCGACUCUUUGGUCUGUAACUGACGCUGAGGCGCGCAAGCGUGGGGAGCAAACAGG
rnacentral:rRNA from 1 species